AAACAUCGCCUCCUGAAAACAAUAGGAGGUCCAGCCUGCCCAGUGACCAAGUUAAACGGCCGCGGUACCCUAACCGUGCGAAGGUAGCGCAAUCACUUGUUCUUUAAAUGAGGACUAGUAUGAACGGCAUCACGAGGGUUAUACUGUCUCCCACCUCUAAUCAGUGAAACUGAUCCCCCCGUGAAGAAGCGGGGAUACAACUAUAAGACGAGAAGACCCCAUGGAGCUUUAAACUCAGUAUCAACCACCAAAAACCACACCUCAUUAGACAGGUGGACCUGAUUUCUAGUUUUAGGUUGGGGUGACCGCGGAGUAAAACACAACCUCCAUGAUGAAAGACCUCCCUAUAAUCUAAGAGCAACAGCUCAAAGAAUCAAAAAACUGACAUCCAUUGACCCAAAUAACUUUGAUCAACGAACCAAGUUACCCUGGGGAUAACAGCGCAAUCCAUUUCAAGAGCCCCUAUCGACAAAUGGGUUUACGACCUCGAUGUUGGAUCAGGGUACCCCAGUGGUGCAGCCGCUACUAAAGGUUCGUUUGUUCAACGAUUAAAACCCUACGUGAUCUGA
rnacentral:rRNA from 1 species